GUGUGUUUAGGAACAGCCAUAAAGGCAAGAUUAGAGCUUGAUAGGAUGAAGAAGAGGUCUGAUGAAACUAGUGUAAGCUCAGAUCAGAAACAAGAGAAUAAGAGAGAUUAGGAGUUUAAAUGUAUAAGAAAGGGAGAGAUUAAGGGAUUCUGAUCCAAGAACACUUUGUAUUAUGAAGGAGGAGGGGAAAUCCCCCUCUCUCUCUUAGAGAGUUACAAUCUGUCACAAACAGCUUAUUUAUAAGCUUUACAAGUUUUUAAAACCAGAAACCUAAAUCUAAUGGUUCCUAAUGACUCUUGAAGGAUGGAUGGCUGAGAUGAGGAGUUGGAUCAGUCCCAAUCUGCGUGAUACAUCUUGAUUGGUGGAGAGAGUGCUGGCGCCUGAUUGGAUGAGGAGGCUUGGCUCUGAUUGGUGCUUCUAAGGCUCCUCUGAAUCUUUCCUUGUAUCUGUCCAGAUACAUAGUCAAGGCUGGUCUUUCCUUUACAGCAACAGCCAGCCUGUCUUGGACCAAGUAGCCAAUCAUCACCAAGAGAGCUCCCAUUGGUCGCUUGCUUCCAUGCUAUCCACAAGGCAUCUUCUCUUGAUGCUCUUUUGAUUCCACACGACCAGAUCAUGCUUAUCAGCCCUAAGUAUGCACAAGCCUCCAGGAGACGUUCUGAUCACGCCCUAACUUUGCACAACUUGGCCCGGACUUUGCACAAUCCCAAAACACCUCAAAUGGUCGAGUUGUGCACUCUCGGGUUGUCCCGGUCCGUACAGGUCCGUACAGGUCCGUACCAAUCCGUACGGCCUCGCCCUAACCUUGCACACUCGCCCAUUUGCUCCCAAACACACUUCUAAGUCCCUCCUGGACUUGGCCCUAUCUUUGCACAGCUAUAUGAGCACUUCUAGACACCUUUAGACACUCCCAAAGCCUUGACAUUCAAUCUCCGGAUGUCUUGCCCUAUUCUUGCUCAAGACUCAAUCUCAACUCAACACUUCACCACUCCAUUUCUUUUCUUCAAGUUAACACUCCCCCUCAAGCUUGACUAUAGAAGAUCCUUAGUCAAGCUUGGAACCUUGAAGAACUCCCUCAUUAAAAACCUCACCAAGGAAAACCCUUUGGGACAAAACCUUGAUGAGGGAAAAAGAGUAGAGCCUCCAAGGCCUAGGGAUUGGCCAGUGAGUCUUUGUGCCUUACCAAAUGUAAGGGACACAAAGACUCUGGAUCAUGGCCUCACACCUUCUUCUCAUCACUAACACCUCUCGGACCUCUUCUUGGAACCAGCUUGUGUCUUCCCUUCUUUCAUGGCUUCUCACCAUCUCCAUUAGGUCAGAUCACACGCCUAGCUUCUUCAUUGAGUAUCCAACAAGGUACCUGAUACAACAUCCCACAAGUGUAUCAGUUCUCAAGAGAUACACCUAUCAUGUAUAUAUUUAAAGAGUUAAGAUCAGGUUUACUCCCUUGUUUAGAUGGUGAGGAGUGGCUGCUCUGAACCGCCACUUGAAUCCUCACUUGCUGAGCUUUACAGCUCCUCCUCUUAUCACAUAAGCUCACUAACACUCCCCCUCAAGCUUGAGACCGAGUAUAGGGAAGGUCCAAGCUUGAAGGUGAGCGCAUACUAAGCUCCAUGAUCAACCUUGUGGGAACACCUCCAUCUUCUUCAGACUUGAUGCUUACUGCCCCACUUAACCACCAUUGCACUGAGGAGAUACCUCAGCUUACUCUCCAAGCACUUCUCACCAGAAGCUCAUUGAGUAGCUUUCUUCUUCCCUCACUCUCGGCUGUAUCUACACAUGAUCAGCUUGCAAUGGCCUUGAGGAACCAGGUCAUUGAGCUUAGAGGAUCUUCUGGUAGCUCACUUGAAUCCCCACCUCAAGCUUGACUUAGUAUAGGUGCAAGCUUGAAGUGAGCCUCAAUGAGACUUCAAACCGGGAGCGCAUCACUACCUACAGCUGCGCUUAACCCAACCGAUCUGCCAUUGCCUUCAGCUCCAAUGCCUUCAGGUCAUCAGUCUCCCCAAGACUUAGGUGAUGACCUUUUCUUGUGUAUCUACAUGAACCAGGAGCGCAUCACUAUCACCAGCUGCGCUAUCUCAACCGGCCAUAUACACAAGCACCAACUCUCCAUUGCUUCACAAUGGAUCAAGUCUUCCUCUCUGUCACGGAUUGAUGAUGAACUAGGGCCACUUCUUGUGAACCUGAAACAUCAUUCAAACUCCAGACAAGAUAAGACACAAGCAUUGGGACCAAAGCUUGAUUGAUCAUCAAGUUUGAUCUCCAAUGUCACAAGCUAUGCAAUAGACAGAAACAAUUCAUCACAAAGUUCUUAUCAAUGCAAGUUAACCAUUCUCUAAACACUAAGCAUGAUCUGAUCAGGAUUCAAUGCAAAGAAUUUAGGCAAUCAACCCUGCCUUAACCGCAACCAUAGACAUCCAUCUAUGUGCUCAACAUAAGGCAGCAACAAGAUGACAAUAUGCAGUGACCUUAAUCAGUUUCUAGUUUAUGUAUGCAACAGGAUCAGAUAGUACAUUCUAUCAUCCUAACACACAUUUACUUUUAACUGAGGCAAAGCAAUAUUAAUCAUCCACAACAUCAGACAAUGCAAUACCUUUAAAAUUGAUUCAGUUUAAGAGAGCUAAUAGGAUCAAGACUUCAUCUAGCAUCCUAACACAACUCAUAACAGAUUCAAGGCAAGCAUUUUAUCUCUCAACAUCAAACAAGACUCUUUAAGCAUCCUGGGACAGAUUCUAAAUCAUUUCAAUUCAUUUAGCAAUCUUUAACAUAUCCUCAGGUUUUCAAUCAAUACACAACCUCACAAUCAGUUCAUAUGCUCAAGCUUUUAACUAAAGGGAAAGAGAUCCAGCUUACAGCCAAGGAACUUGUUUGUUCCUUGAAUCUCCAUGGUACAUGGCAAGCUUUGAGCUGUUGGUGUCGACCCCAACACCUUCUUCUUCCAUGAACCAUCCUCUUGAACCCACCAUGUCAAAGAGACCACCUUUCUUCAUGAGAAUCACCAUGAGACUCGCCUGGACCUGGUUUGUUGAAGAGGCUAGCUAGACCGCUUCAUAACCUUUGCUUCCAAGGCCUUCUUUCUUCAAGGGUGGACAUGAGAACGUGGAGAACAACCAGAGACAGCUACUGGACGCCAUGUAUGAGCCCACCUUCUUCUUGGAGAGGUUUUACAGCUGGCUGAACAUGAAGCUUCUUUUUGGUUUGGAAAUGACAUGGGAGAAAGCUUUGAGCUUAGCGGAAGCUGGAAUCAGAUUCAGAUGAACCUGGCUCUGAUACCAUAUGAGAUUUUAGAGAAUCAGAUUGGGGUGUGUUUAGGAACAGCCAUAAAGGCAAGAUUAGAGCUUGAUAGGAUGAAGAAGAGGUCUGAUGAAACUAGUGUAAGCUCAGAUCAGAAACAAGAGAAUAAGAGAGAUUAGGAGUUUAAAUGUAUAAGAAAGGGAGAGAUUAAGGGAUUCUGAUCCAAGAACACUUUGUAUUAUGAAGGAGGAGGGGAAAUCCCCCUCUCUCUCUUAGAGAGUUACAAUCUGUCACAAACAGCUUAUUUAUAAGCUUUACAAGUUUUUAAAACCAGAACCUAAAUCUAAUGGUUCCUAAUGACUCUUGAAGGAUGGAUGGCUGAGAUGAGGAGUUGGAUCAGUCCCAAUCUGCGUGAUACAUCUUGAUUGGUGGAGAGAGUGCUGGCGCCUGAUUGGAUGAGGAGGCUUGGCUCUGAUUGGUGCUUCUAAGGCUCCUCUGAAUCUUUCCUUGUAUCUGUCCAGAUACAUAGUCAAGGCUGGUCUUUCCUUUACAGCAACAGCCAGCCUGUCUUGGACCAAAGUAGCCAAUCAUCACCAAGAGAGCUCCCAUUGGUCGCUUGCUUCCAUGCUAUCCACAAGGCAUCUUCUCUUGAUGCUCUUUUGAUUCCACACGACCAGAUCAUGCUUAUCAGCCCUAAGUAUGCACAAAGCCUCCAGGAGACGUUCUGAUCACGCCCUAACUUUGCACAACUUGGCCCGGACUUUGCACAAUCCCAAAACACCUCAAAUGGUCGAGUUGUGCACUCUCGGGUUGUCCCGGUCCGUACAGGUCCGUACAGGUCCGUACCAAUCCGUACGGCCUCGCCCUAACCUUGCACACUCGCCCAUUUGCUCCCAAACACACUUCUAAGUCCCUCCUGGACUUGGCCCUAUCUUUGCACAGCUAUAUGAGCACUUCUAGACACCUUUAGACACUCCCAAAGCCUUGACAUUCAAUCUCCGGAUGUCUUGCCCUAUUCUUGCUCAAGACUCAAUCUCAACUCAACACUUCACCACUCCAUUUCUUUUCUUCAAGUUAACAC
rnacentral:lncRNA from 1 species